rnacentral:rRNA from 1 species
AUACAUGCAAGUCGAGCGAACCCCGCAAGGGGUUAGCGGCGAACGGGUGAGUAAUGCAUACUUAACGUGCCCCGGAGAGGGGAAUAGCCGCCCGAAAGGGCGAUUAAUCCCCCAUAGGAGCCCCGACCAAGAAGGACGGGACUUUAAAGGAGCAAUCCGCCCCGGGAUUGGAGUAUGUUCUAUUAGCUUGUUGGCGGGGUAAAAGCCCACCAAGGCGAUGAUAGAUAGCUGGUCUAAGAGGAUGAACAGCCACAAUGGGAUUGAGAUACGGCCCAUAUUCCUACGGGAAGCAGCAGUAGGGAAUCUUCCACAAUGGGCGAAAGCCUGAUGGAGCAAUGCCAUGUGAACGACGAAGGUCUUUUUGAUCGUAAAGUUCUUUUAGGGGGGAAGACCAUGACGGUACCCCUUGAAUAAGUGACAGCAAACUAUGUGCCAGCAGCUGCGGUAAUACAUAGGUCGCGAGCGUUAUUCGGAUUUAUUGGGCGUAAAGCAAGCGCAGGCGGAUGAAUAAGUUCUAUGUUAAAUACAGCUGCUCAACAGUUGUUUGCGUCGAAUACUGUUCAUCUAGAAUGUGGUAGGCGGUUUUGGAAUUGAAUAUGGAGCGGUGGAAUGUGUAGAUAUAUUCAAGAACACCAGAGGCGAAGGCGAAAACCGAGGCCACUAUUGACGCUUAGGCUUGAAAGUGUGGGGAGCAAAUGGGAUUAGAUACCCCAGUAGUCCACACCGUAAACGAUGGAUAUUAGAUGUUGGGGUCUGUGCCUCAGCGUUGUAGCUUACGUGUUAAAUAUCCCGCCUGGGUAGUACAUAUGCAAAUAUGAAACUCAAAGGAAUUGACGGGGACCUGAACAAGUGGUGGAACAUGUUGCUUAAUUCGAUAAUACACGAAAAACCUUACCAAGAUUUGACAUCUCCCGCGAAGCCAUAGAAAUAUGGUCAUAGGUUAUCGGGAUGACAGGUGGUGCAUGGUUGUCGUCAGCUCGUGUCAUGAGAUGUUUGGUUAAGUCCCGCAACGAGCGCAACCCUACUCUUUAGUUACUUGUCUAAAGAGACUGAACAGUAAUGUAUAGGAAGGUUGGGAUCACGUCAAAUCAUCAUGCCCCUUAUGUCUUGGGCCGCAAACGUGUUACAAUGGUGAGUACAAUGUGUUGCAAGCCGGCGACGGUAAGCUAAUCACUAAAAGCUCAUCUCAGUCCGGAUAAAAGGCUGCAAUUCGCCUUUUUGAAGUUGGAAUCACUAGUAAUCCCGUGUCAGCUAUAUCGGGGUGAAUACGUUCCCAGGUCUUGUACACACCGCCCGUCAAACUAUGAGAGGGAGAGGCAUUCGAAAACGUAUUCAUUUGCGUCUAGAAUGAAUUUCCUGAUUGGAGUUAAGUCGUAACAAGGUAACCGUACGAGAACGUGCGGGUGGAUAAUCUUCUUUGCGAUUGGCUGUUUUUUAGCAGUCAACAUAGUUGAGGUUUUUUCUCGAAAAGUCUUUAAUAAUAGGUUCAUUUAAAGAAAACUCGAGGCGGAUGGUUUCCAGUUUUGAGAGAGCUACUUUUUUGCUUUCUCAGAUUGUUUUUAGAAAAUAGAAAAGAUAAUAACCGAGUUAACUUAAAAAAGUUAAUCAUGCGUGAAUUUGUGUAAGAGCUAGAGGUGGAUUUCUUGGAAAUGGGAGGCGACGAAGGACGUGCUAAUCUGCGAAAAGGCCGGGGAAGCUGGUAAGAAGCUUCGACCCCGGCAUCUCCGAAUGUAGAAAUACGACCUAUCUAGACGAUUGGUCACCGCCAGGCUAAUAAAUAACCUGGCGGGGUAAACCCCGCGAAGUGAAACAUCUCAGUAGCGGGAGGAAAAGAAAACGAACGUGAUUCCCUGAGUAGUGGUGAGCGAAAGGGGA